rnacentral:rRNA from 1 species
GACGAACGCUGGCGGCGUGCUUAACACAUGCAAGUCGAGCGGUAAGGCCCUUUCGGGGGUACACGAGCGGCGAACGGGUGAGUAACACGUGGGUGACCUGCCCUCAGCUCUGGGAUAAGCCUGGGAAACCGGGUCUAAUACUGGAUAUGACUCCAUGACGCAUGUUGUGGGGUGGAAAGCCUUGUGCGGCUGAGGAUGGGCCCGCGGCCUAUCAGCUUGUUGGUGGGGUGANGGCCUACCAAGGCGACGACGGGUAGCCGGCCUGAGAGGGCGACCGGCCACACUGGGACUGAGACACGGCCCAGACUCCUACGGGAGGCAGCAGUGGGGAAUCUUGCGCAAUGGGCGAAAGCCUGACGCAGCGACGCCGCGUGGAGGAUGAAGGUCUUCGGAUUGUAAACUCCUGUUGACCGGGACGAAUGGGCCUCGACCUAACACGUCGGGGCAGUGACGGUACCGG